GCGUGGCAGCCGGCGGCAAACCACACCCAACCUUUCCCUUCCUUAGAAUAAAAGCCGGAGGAGAAGGCGGGGGGAAAGACGGUUUCGUCAUGUCGGACGCCCCCGCGGGCUGCCGCGUGUAUGUUUGGCUGCGGCGCGGCUGCGGGGCCCUGGCCCACCCGGCGGCGUGGGGGAUGGCCAUCUUUCUGCUGCUGCUCUCCAGGCCUGGCACUAGUUUAUUUUCCUGGCACCCAGUGUUCAUGUCGAUUGCAUUCUGCCUCUGUCUGACGGAAGCCAUCCUGAUCUUUGCUCCAGAGGGCUCUCUUUUCUUCUGCUCCCAUAAAGUAAAAGUGCAGCUGCAUUGGAUUGCGCAAGUGCUGGGCCUCCUGGCUGCCACCUUGGGCUUGGUCUUCAUUAUCUCCAGCAAGAACCGGAGCGAACUCCCACACUUCAUCUCCUGGCACAGCAUCCUGGGUCUUCUGACAAUAUUGGCCAUCUAUGGGCAAGUCCUGUGUGGAUUGUGCCUACUCUUUCCACAGCUGCUAAGGAUUUCAUUAGUAGCUCAGCUCUGGAGGUACCAUGUUGUGUACGGAUUGAUAGUUUACUUGCUGGCCACUUUCACUGUAGUACUGGGCAUUUGUUCUGACUGGUUUCAGGCCCAGGUCAAAGGCGUGGCUUGGUAUUUAUGCUUGGGAUUGAUCUUCUGUCCAGCCCUGGUAAUUGUGAACCAGACUUCUAGAACUUUUUGGUCGAAGAAUAGACAAUAUGUUUGAGAUGUGAUCUCAGGAGGACACCCAGGAAUCAACACUUCAAUGCGAUUACUUGCCAAGAUAAGUAUCACUUUUCCACCCGUUAGAAUGUAAAGUAUGAUCCCCACAGAGUGCCACGUUUCUCUGAACAUGUCUUUAUUAAGUAGGUACCUACAAUACUUAUAGGUAAGUCAUAAAAAGUACAUUUUGCAAUUGUGGUCUUGCAUCUUGUAUUCCCCCCUCACUACUGGCAGCUGUGAUUGUCAUACAGAUUUUUUUAAAGCAGUUACUUAAGAGCAAUGAGUCAGAAACAGAAGAUCUAAAGAAAAUUCAAAGUCAUGCGGAAGAUGUUUGUGUGUUCUCAUGUUUUUCGUGUAAUAUAGCAAUAUUUUGACAGUAAAAUUGUGUUGAAUGUAAUUCAGAUAUUUUUCUUUGAGGAACUCACAUAAUUUUAUGUUUUGUUCUUAUUGCAUGGCUAAUAUACCGUAUCUUCCUAGUGCAGCCUUCCCCAACUGUUUGUCUUCUAAAUUUGCUGGGACUGUAGCACUCAGAAUUAUAGGAGAUUGUUCAGUAUGAUAGGAAUUUCUGGAAGGCACCAAUUGCAGGGGUGUCAAACUGCCGGCCCGCAGGGAAGUUUCAUCAUACUGAAGCCACACCCACCCCAUGGCCAGCAAUGCAAAAAGAGUUGUGAUAUGACGCACCACGUCACAUGACCUGGCGAGUUUGACACCCAUGAAUAGGGAAAGUCUAUUCUAUUGUCCUCGCUUGCAUCUGGCAAUGUGGUUUGAUGUUCUGAGUUACGGUAGCUUGCGGAAAUCGCAGCAGCACAAUCUGAUUUACUGUACCAUUGGCCUGGCAGGACUCUGGAAUGGAAAAUGGAAAGUAGCUGCAAAAAAGUCUGGAAGGGUAGGUUGUGGUACAGAUAGCCCUUGACUUACAGCAGAGUAUUCAGUGACCAUUCAAAAUUACAACGAUGUUGACAUGACUUAUGGCUGUUUUUCACACUUGCAACCAUUGCAGUAUCCCCCAUGGUCAUCAAAAUUUAAGUGCUUGGCAGCUGGCUCAUAUUUAUAAUGGCCGCAGUGCCCUGCGGUCAUGUGAUCACCUUCUGUGACCUUCUGACAAGCAAGGUCAAUGGGGAAAGCCAGA